AGCGAACGCUGGCGGCAGGCCUAACACAUGCAAGUCGAACGAACCCUUCGGGGUUAGUGGCAGACGGGUGAGUAACACGUGGGAACGUGCCCUUUGGUUCGGAACAACUCAGGGAAACUUGAGCUAAUACCGGAUGAGCCCUACGGGGGAAGAUUUAUCGCCAUUGGAGCGGCCCGCGUCUGAUUAGCUAGUUGGUGAGGUAAAGGCUCACCAAGGCUACGAUCAGUAGCUGGUCUGAGAGGAUGAUCAGCCACAUUGGGACUGAGACACGGCCCAAACUCCUACGGGAGGCAGCAGUGGGGAAUAUUGGACAAUGGGCGCAAGCCUGACCCAGCCAUGCCGCGUGAGUGAUGAAGGCCCUAGGGUUGUAAAGC
rnacentral:rRNA from 1 species